GGGAGGAAUUCGUACAUGAACUCUUUCAUAUCCUCGACUGGCAGUAUAUGCUGACGUCGACCGAAUUGUCACAUGACUCUUAGUGGCACGUAGGGUUGAACACCUCGGAGACCCAUUAAGACGAUGAAGGGUCGGAAAGUAGACAUAUAUAUCACCUCUUUUGAGGGGAACCAAUGAUAAUUCCACACUAUCUUGUCCGCCGUCAACCCCUCCAAGUACUCCUUCCAAGCUCCUAUUCCUUCGGUAAAGUUUUGGUCCUGCAUCCUCUUCUCAUGGCCCUUGAUAUAAUCA
rnacentral:lncRNA from 1 species